AAGUCGUAACAAGGUUUCCGUAGGUGAACCUGCGGAAGGAUCAUUACCGAGUUGAUUCGGGCUCCGGCCCGAUCCUCCCACCCUUUGUGUACCUACCUCUGUUGCUUUGGCGGGCCGCGGUCCUCCGCGGCCGCCCCCCUCCCCGGGGGGGUGGCCAGCGCCCGCCAGAGGACCAUCAAACUCCAGUCAGUAAACGAUGCAGUCUGAAAAACAUUUAAUAAACUAAAACUUUCAACAACGGAUCUCUUGGUUCUG
rnacentral:misc_RNA from 1 species